rnacentral:misc_RNA from 1 species
GAAAUGCGAUAAGUAGUGUGAAUUGCAGAAUUCAGUGAAUCAUCGAAUCUUUGAACGUACAUUGCGCCCCUUGGUAUUCCAUGGGGCAUGCCUGUUCGAGCGUCAUCUACACCCUCAAGCUCUGCUUGGUGUUGGGCGUCUUUGUCCCGCCUCCGCGCGCGGACUCGCCCCAAAUUCAUUGGCAGCGGUCCUUGCCUCCUCUCGCGCAGCACAUUGCGCUUCUCGAGGUGUUGCGGCCCGCGUCCAGAAAGCAAUCGUUACCGUCUUUGACCUCGGAUCAGGUAGGGAUACCCGCUGAACUUAAGC